UACUAUAAUUAUUGAUAUGUUAGGGCUUAAGUCUGUCAUUAUUUUUUCUGUUUGUUCUCUUUGUUUUUCAUUUCUCAGUUUUUCCCCCUGUCUUCCUGUGAUUUACUUGCAGAUUUUUUAGAAUCCACUUUUGAUUUUUGAGUGUGCACGUCAAAUAGCUUUUGAAGUGAUUGCUCUAGGUAUUAUAUUACAUGUACAUGACUUAGUCUUAGGCAUCACCUUUUUAGUCAAUUUGAGUGAAGUUUAGGUACUUUGUCUUCCUUUACUAUCCGUUAGCAUCCCUCAAUUGUAACAUAAUUGUGUAUAAUAAUUGCAUACAUUGAGAACCACAUUAUCAGAGUUAUAAUUUUCACUUCAGUCAUCAAACACAAUUUAGAGAACUUGAGAGGAGACCGUAUGUCAUAAACAUACUAAACAUCGAUCUUUGAGUCACAGCAACAGAUGUCCUAAAGCUCAUUUGAUUAAUUCCUGUUGGGUUCAUGGGUGGUGCCAGGUCCACAUACGGUUCCGGAAAAGCAAGUCUGUUGGAGGUGAUUCAGAUGCACACUGAUGACUGAAGAUCCUUUGGCGCUUCUCUUGUUAAUAAUUGCUAGAUAUUGCUAAUAUUGUAAAAGUUAUAGUAAUAACUGAAACAAAUAUGGUAUAUUAGUUUGCAAGCGCUGCCAUAACCAAGUACCACAAAUAACAGAAACUUACUGUCUCACAGUCUGGAUACUAGGAGUUCAUGAUCAGGGUGUUGGCAGGGCUGUGCUCUCUUGGACAUCCCCAUGGAAGGAGCUGGUUCACGGCUCCGCUAGUUUCUGUUAGCCCCUUGGCUCCAGCAGAAUAAUUCUAGUCUUCACAUGGUGUUCUCUGUGUGUGCCUGUCUGUGUCUGGAUUUUUCCCCUUUUUAUAAGGAGACCAGUUACACUGAAUUAAAGGCCUACCCUGCUCCAGUAUGACCUCAGCUUAACUAAUUAUAUGUGCAGUGACUAUUCCCAAAUCAGGUCACAUUCUGAGAUGCUGGGGGCUAGGACUUCAGCAUGUGCAUUUUUGAAAGAUACAGUUCAACCCAUCACAUAUGACAAUGAAUGAAUUUAUCACAGUUUAUAUAAGUGUUUGGCUAUAUAUUCUAAUAGCUAUUAUGAAGGGAGUGUGUACACUCUAUAAACCUGUACAAAUGUAAGGGGAGUUGCUCUUGAACCCUGUGUAUCCUGUGAAGUAAAUGGUUUGCCUUGGUUCUGUUGUACCAAUAGCUUAUGUCACAAUUCUGAUUUGCUGCCUUUCAAAGUCUUGCCACAUUGUCCUUUAAUCACGUGUUGUAGUGGCUUCAGGUUCAACCCUUUCAUCUUGAAAACUCUUAAUACCUAUAUAAAUCUUAAUAAUAAAGAAUUAAAGCAGGAGAGAUCUUCAAAAUAAUACCAUUGUCAUAGUUUAAUUUGCUGUUCAUUUAAAGAUGGUUCUAAUGACAUCUCACUUUUUUCCCCAAGUAUGAAAUUACCCUAGGCAACUUAUCUUAUUAUGUUAAUCAUGCUAAAUAUGAAACUGUCUUACUUUGAGGUGUUAGAAUUUAUAGAAGCUGUAUUUAUGCCUUUUGAUAACAUUCUUUACAACUUACGUAGUGAAAACUACCAAUAAUAAUGUAGACUGUUUCUUCCAUUAUAAAAAUUGUAUGUGCCCUAUAUAAAGGUUGGGGAUUAGGCAGGAAGUGAUACUAAUUUAGGACUGUCACAGUGCUUUCUGUCAUAAAAGUUGUGCAGUCCUAAUAUUGUCCCUUUAAGUGUAGGGUUAGUCAUUAUGGCCUGAGUAACCCACAAGGCAUGUGCUGUGUUAUGGUACGUCUAGUGAAAUUUGGCACCCUCCAAAAGUCUUUCUUCAACUCAGCUUCUUCUUUGCUCUGUCUUUGGGAGGAUAAGAAUAAGAAACAGUCUGAAAUGAAAAUAUUAGUAAAAUCAUAGAUAAUAUCGAUUGACUGAUUUUUAUGCACAAUGUGUAGAACUGCCAGCAGAUUCUGGGACCGUGCCAUUAAUACAUACUUAGGUUAUGCAGGAUUUUGUCUUAAUAUGCUCUGUCUUUAUUUAUGUAAAGCAUAAUUCUGAAUCCAUUUGAGUAAUGUACAUUUAACAUAAGCAGAGUCGUAGGCUGGUAUUAUUAAAAUGCAUAGAGCCGACAUCCUGAGCUUCUGCUGAAAUAUGCUUUUAAUUGAAGCAGAAUUAUGGCAAUAUAUUAUCCAUGUAAGCCUGGUUAUAUCACAGUUUGGUUUGCGUAGAAGCUCUUUGCUCAGUGAGAACUGUACAGUAACCCAUAUGUUGUGAUUCGGCAUUUAAAUAUUCUAUGGUAUAUAUAUCUGAGUUGCUUGAUACAGUGUUAUCUAAGCAUAUGUUAUCUUGUGGAAGAUGCAUCUUGUGGCCAAGUAGCCUUGGAAAGAAUUUGUCAGUUAUAUCUACCAGUGAUUGAAGGUCAUUCAUAAAAAUAUACAUUGUUUAAUAGAAGCUCUACUUUGAGUUUUUGGAAUUAAAAAACAGUCAGGAGUGAAGGAAGCAUUUUUUGGUGGUACAUUUUGUUUACUUUUAUAAUGUUGUUAAAUUACAAUUCACAUUCUCCACAAUAGGACUAGGGGAAAAUAGCUUGUAGAUUCUACGAUUUUCCUGUAGAUUAAAUUUUUAAGUUUUCUAAGCCAGAGCCUAAAAUGAUCAACAUCAAUGAGGGUACUAAUGAAACCUUGAUUUCUAAUUUCAUCCUGCAGAAGGAGGUCUUUGGGGCAUGAUAAUGUGAUAACAUACACUAUCUGUUUUAAUAAGUAAUGUUCAGACAAGAAAUGGUGCUUGAUACUAACACGUCUUAAGGUCAUCGGUAAGGUUUCCUCUUCUACUGUACAUUAUUAUACUCAGUCUCCACCAACACAGAUGAAUUAGAUGGUGGUGAUGGAAAUGUUCCCCCUUAGGCCAACUUAUAGGAAAAAGAGUCUCCCAUUCCACUAACUUAAGGAGCUUUCUAUUUUUAUUCAUGUGUUUUAAUUAACAACUACAUUUUAAAAUAUAUCCCACCUAAACAUAUAAUCUGGUUUUGGUCACUUCAGUUUAUGCAGCUUUUAUAAAGUAGCAUAGAAUUUUACCAGUUUGGGGCCAGUUUUUGUGGCAGUAGAGCCUCCCACAUUCUCAUCCCCAGCUGGCUCACCCUGGAUUUCAGGUGGUCAUCUUGUAAUUAGAAAUAACCACAUUUUGACACCGCGAAUCCUGUGAUUAUUAACUAUUUCCUCAUCAGCAAACUACUAUCUUCCUUUUGUCACAUUAGGAUCUUUUUCUUCAAAGGGAUGAGUUUACAAAUGGCCCCAUGGCCCUAUUCCAGGUUCAUCUCUUCUACAUUAUUCACAGAGGUGAUGUUUGCUUUUAUUAAACAUCCUCCUUUGUACUGCAUGGCAAGGAUUUCUUCCUGUAAGUCCAGCCCACAGGUUGACUCCAGACCUGCGACCCAUAACUCAAUAGAGUGGUGCCCUCUUUACAAACUCCAGGUUUCCUGUGCUGUCAGUUAGGGCAAUCAGCACAAAGACCAAGCACUUUGAGAACCAAAUAAACAAUGAGCAAAGCGUUCAGGGCUGCCAGUAACCCUUCCCAGGGAACCGAACCGCCUUGGACCACAGGGCUGCCGUGUGGAAGAUGCUGGUGCAGGGUGAAACCUGACUUAUGUCCUGCCCUGUCCCCCCAUGGCUCUCAGCAUACUCUGUGGCUCAGGUUCAGUGGAGCCCUUCAGAGCCUCCUGCUCUCCCCUGAGCCUGAGUGGCCCUAUGGCGACAGACACCCACGCUUGUGUCCUGUUACAUCUGCGUGUCAUGUCGGCUUCUGAUAUGGAGCAUCAGAGUAUUUAAAAUUGGGGGAUUAACUAAAUUGAGAAUUUGCUGAUAUAUGAAGAAAACAUCUCUUCUAACAAGUUCAAGCCAUUUGAACAGUUCCAGAAAGGCUCAGAUGCCAAGGGAAAGGCCACUGUACCUCUGAGGAGUGGUGCGGGCUGGACAGGCCAACAGGGAAGAGAAUUGCUGCAUUCUGUGGCACAGAACUUUAACCAUUUAGACAAUUAGUGUUUUUGUUUAAAGCCCUGUGUUGAUGUGUUUUUAAUUUAACUUGUUUGCUUUCUGAUACAUGUGAUGGCUUUACUGAUGGCCUGGAUAAUGCUUGCAGUAGCUGUUUAUGUGAUUGUUUAUAUGUUUCAAAGCCAACCAAAAACAUCUGCGAGUUAAAGUGAAGUGACUUGAAUCCAUCUGGAUCAGUUGGAAAUCUUGUUUCACUUAUUUCAGCAGUAAAAUGGUAGUGCAGAGUAUAAAACGAGCCAACCCACAACAAAGGUGCAAUCCGGCUGCAGACUCCAAACUGCCAUCGUGUGCACCUUAGGCAGAUCUUGGACCCCUCAGGAGGGGACUUGGGGGCGUUCCUUGUGUGUGCUUCUCCUGCAGUUCAUGGCGGCUUUCAGCAAAGGUCUCAAUUUACUAGUGAGAGAAUUUAUAGCCAAAGAGGUACGAAUAAACUAUAGAAGAGGUAAAAGAUUAAUCUUUUAAGUGUGUCAUUGAAUAUAGUUUUUUAAAAUUAUAUACUUAAGUUAAUACUUGAUUAUACAUCUUAAGUAGAAAACACGAACAUCUCCAGGGGCCUGGCAGGUACCCUUGGCAUGCGCCCAUUGAUAGCGUCCUGGAAUUGCUUCGACAUGGGAGAACAUCCCACCAUCAAAAUAUGUCCUCAUUCUUUAAAUUUGCACCAGUCUCCUAGGAAUAAAUUACUUUUUUUUUUUGACAUUUUCUGCUACUACUGAAUUUGGGAAUCUUAUAAAAUACUUAUUGGACAUUUGGAUUUGGUUUUUUGUGAAUUUUUCCUUUAUGUUCUUUCCCUACUUUUUUACUGGAAUUUUUAUAAUUUUCAUGGAACAUUUCCAAGAUUUGUGUAAUAUAAAUGUUAACAUUACUGUGGUGCAGCUUUCAGAUAAUGGGGUUAAGAUUUAUCUUCUUCAUUGACUAUGCUUAUGGCAUCUUUUGUCUUACAAUGUAGUUUUCAUUUUUUUUUAAUCAAAUCAUGUUGUAUAAUCUAGAGUCCAUACAAGGAGGUGGGCUAUUAAAGCCUCUACAGGUGUGGUGGUGAAUUGAAUGAGAAGCUAAGUUAGAACGACAGGUAAAAGAAGCACAUUUCAUGGAGUAAUAUGAGCAAAGAUUUGGAUGUGAGAAAAAUACCACACUUCACAUGGGAGCCAGUGAGCAGAGUUUCAGUCCCAGAACUACCAAACUGUGUGGGUACUGGGAAGCCUGCAGUUCCCUUGAAAGUGAUUUGACUUUGUCCUGGGGUGGAUGGGUAAGAAGCCAUUAAACGUUUUGAGGAGUAGAGGAAUAAUAUACUUAGACAUAUGUUUUAGGAGGUUUUAGGAAGGUAAUACUGGCUCUGAUUAGGAAAAGUUCUAAAACACAAAAAUGGAGGCAAGCUUGCUUCAGUGAAGAAGUGAUGGGAAUAAAAACAGGAGUAGAUUUGUGAGCCUUUUUGGAGAGCAACUAGUAAGAGGCAGCACACUGGGUGUGAGCGUGAGGAAGAAGUGCUGAAGAGGGUUUCCAGAGCGUACCCACACGGGUGACCGGUGACACGGCGGCUUACCAGUGAGGGACCCUAGGUGCCUCAGAUUAGGGUGGGGUGGGGAGAAAUAAGGCACACGAACUUUGUGAUUCAGACAGACCGCCCAGGUGGAGGCAUCUAGUAGAGUUCCCAUCGUGGCGCAGUGGAAACGAAUCUUACUAGGAACCACGAGGUUGCGGAUUUGAUCCCGGGUCUCGCUCAGUGGGUUAAGGAUCCGGCAUUGCCGUGAGCUGUGGUCUAGGUCGCAGACCCGGCUGGGUUCUGGUGUUGCUGUGGCUGUGGCCUAGGCCAGCAACUGUAGCUCCGAUUAGACCCCUAGCCUGGGAACCUCCAUAUGCUACAGGCGCGGCC
rnacentral:lncRNA from 1 species